CGCCUGGGGAGUACGGCCGCAAGGUUAAAACUCAAAUGAAUUGACGGGGGCCCGCACAAGCGGUGGAGCAUGUGGUUUAAUUCGACGCAACGCGAAGAACCUUACCUGGCCUUGACAUCCAGAGAACUUUCCAGAGAUGGAUUGGUGCCUUCGGGAACUCUGAGACAGGUGCUGCAUGGCCGUCGUCAGCUCGUGUCGUGAGAUGUUGGGUUAAGUCCCGUAACGAGCGCAACCCCUAUCCCUGGUUGCUAGCAGGUAAUGCUGAGAACUCCAGGGAGACUGCCGGUGACAAACCGGAGGAAGGUGGGGAUGACGUCAGGUCAUCAUGGCCCUUACGGCCAGGGCUACACACGUGCUACAAUGGCGCGUACAGAGGGCUGCCAACUCGCGAGAGUGAGCCAAUCCCUUAAAACGCGUCGUAGUCCGGAUCGGAGUCUGCAACUCGACUCCGUGAAGUCGGAAUCGCUAGUAAUCGCGAAUCAGAAUGUCGCGGUGAAUACGUUCCCGGGCCUUGUACACACCGCCCGUCACACCACGGGAGUGGAUUGCACCAGAAGUAGUUAGUCUAACCUUCGGGAGGACGAUUACCACGGUGUGGUUCAUGACUGGGGUGAAGUCGUAACAAGGUAACCGUA
rnacentral:rRNA from 1 species